GACGAACGCUGGCGGCGUGCUUAACACAUGCAAGUCGAACGGAAAGGCCUGCUUUCCCUUGUGGAUUGCGGGUACUCGAGUGGCGAACGGGUGAGUAACACGUGAGUGAUCUGCCCCCAACUUGGGUAUAAGCCUGGGAAACUGGGUCUAAUUCCCGAUAGGACUGCAGGGUGGUGCCUGUGGUGGAAAACGAUUUUCUAGUGGUUGGGGAUGAGCUCGCGGCCUAUCAGCUUGUUGGUGGGGUAAUGGCCUACCAAGGCGGCGACGGGUAGCCGGCCUGAGAGGGUGGACGGCCACAUUGGGACUGAGAUACGGCCCAGAGUCCUACGGGAGGCAGCAGUGGGGAAUAUUGCACAAUGGGCGGAAGCCUGAUGCAGCGACGCCGCGUGGGGGAUGACGGCCUUCGGGUUGUAAACUCCUUUCGACCGCGAGGAAGCCACCUGGUUGGAAGGGUGGUGACGGUAGUGGUAGAAGAAGCACCGGCUAACUACGUG
rnacentral:rRNA from 1 species